rnacentral:rRNA from 1 species
UGCUUUUAUACCGGAAUAACCCUCACUACGUGUAGUGGGCUGAAUGUACGGUAAGAAUAAGGAUCGGCUAACUCCGUGCCAGCAGCCGCGGUAAUACGGAGGAUCCGAGCGUUAUCCGGAUUUAUUGGGUUUAAAGGGUGCGUAGGUGGCUUUUUAAGUCAGGGGUGAAAGACGGUAGCUUAACUAUCGCAGUGCCUUUGAUACUGAAGAGCUUGAAUGAACUAGAGGUAGGCGGAAUGUGACAAGCAGCGGUGAAAUGCAUAGAUAUGUCACAGAACACCAAUUGCGAAGGCAGCUUACUAUGGUUUUAUUGACACUGAGGCACGAAAGCGUGGGGAUCAAACAGGAUUAGAUACCCUGGUAGUCCACGCCCUAAACGAUGAACACUCGAUGUUGGCGAUAUACGGUCAGCGUCAAAGCGAAAGCGUUAAGUGUUCCACCUGGGGAGUACGCCCGCAAGGGUGAAACUCAAAGGAAUUGACGGGGGCCCGCACAAGCGGAGGAGCAUGUGGUUUAAUUCGAUGAUACGCGAGGAACCUUACCCGGGCUUGAAAGUUAGUGAAUGAUCCAGAGACGGAUCAGCUCUUCGGAGCACGAAACUAGGUGCUGCAUGGCUGUC